CUUUAUCAGGGAGCUGGGACUGAGUGACUGCAGCCUUCCUAGAUCCCCUCCACUCGGUUUCUCUCUUUGCAGCAGCACCGGCAGCACCAGUGUGUGAGGGUAGCAGGCAGCGCUCCCAGCCAGUUCCCUGAUCCUGCCAGACCACCCAGCCCCUGGCACAGAGCUGCUCCACAGGCACCAUGAGGAUCAUGCUGCUAUUCACAGCCAUCCUGACCUUCAGCCUAGCUCAGAGCUUUGGGGCUGUCUGUAAGGAGCCACAGGAGGAGAUGGUUCCUGGUGGGGGCCACAGCAAGAGGGAUCUGGAUCUCUACCAGCUACUCCAGAGACUCUUCAAAAGCCACUCAUCUCUGGAGGGAUUGCUCAAAGCCAUGAGCCAGGCUAGCACAGAUCCUAAGGAAUCAACAUCUCCCGAAAAACGUGACAUGCAUGACUUCUUUGUGGGACUGAUGGGCAAGAGGAGCGUCAAGCCAGAGGGAAAGACAGGACCUUUCUUACCUUCAGUGAGGGUUCCUCGGCCCCUUCAUCCCAAUCAGCUUGGAUCCACAGGCAAGCCUUCCCUGGGAACAGAGGAGCGGAGACCUUUAUAAGACUCUCCUACUGAUGUGAAUCAAGAGAACGUCCCCAGCUUUGGCACCCUCAAGUAUCCCCCGAGAGCAGAAUGAACACUCCACUUCCGGACUCCUGGACUGCAUUAGGAAGACCUGUUUCCCUGUCCCAAUCCCCAGGUGCACACACUCCUGUUACCCUUUCUCUUCCCUGUUCUUGUAACAUUCUUGUGCUUUGACUCCUUCUCCGUCUUUUCUACCUGACCCUGGUGUGGAAACUGCAUAGCGAAUAUCCCCAAUCCCAGUGGGCAUUGACUAUAGAAUCCCCUACAGUUCCUGUAGUGUCCUACAUUAAAAAUAUAAUGUCUCUCUCUACUCCUCAACAAUAAAGGAUUUUUUCAUAUGGAUGA